CAAGAGCGUAUGUAAAAGUUGUUGCAGUUAAAAAGCUCGUAGUUGAACCUUGGGUUUGGUUGGCCGGUCCGCUUUUUUGCGAGUACUGGAUUCAACCGAGCCUUUCCUUCUGGCUAACCAGUCGUUUCGGCGGCUGGCGAACCAGGAUUUUUACUUUGAGAAAAUUAGAGUGUUCAAAGCAGGCAUUAGCUUGAAUAUAUUAGCAUGGAAUAAUAGAAUAGGACGUUAUGGUUCUAUUUUGUUGGUUUCUAGGACCAUCGUAAUGAUUAAUAGGGACGGUCGGGGGCAUCAGUAUUCAGUUGUCAGAGGUGAAAUUCUUGGAUUUACUGAAGACUAACUACUGCGAAAGCAUUCGCCAAGGACGUUUUCAUUAA
rnacentral:rRNA from 1 species